rnacentral:hammerhead_ribozyme from 1 species
AUCCAGAUGAAAAGUCCCAAAAGGAGCGAAACGCGCUUCCUGGAU